rnacentral:tRNA from 1 species
CAGGGAAUAGUUUAGUUAGAAUUUCAG